CCACGUCCCGACGCACAUCCCCCCCGGCGCCGGGACCUUCCAGAGUCGGGCUUCGGCACCUGUCCCCCCGGGUGCCGAAGCCCGGCUUCCUU
rfam:Streptomyces yokosukanensis strain DSM 40224 genomic scaffold PRJNA299221_s004, whole genome shotgun sequence.